rnacentral:rRNA from 1 species
ACAAUGGGCGGAAGCCUGAUCCAGCAACGCCGCGUGAGGGAUGACGGCCUUCGGGUUGUAAACCUCUUUCAGUAGGACGAAGCGCAAGUGACGGUACCUACAGAAGAAGCACCGGCCAACUACGUGCCAGCAGCCGCGGUAAUACGUAGGGUGCGAGCGUUGUCCGGAAUUAUUGGGCGUAAAGGGCUCGUAGGCGGUUUGUCGCGUCGGGAGUGAAAACACCGGGCUUAACUCGGUGCUUGCUUUCGGUACGGGCAGACUAGAGGCAUGCAGGGGAGAACGGAAUUCCUGGUGUAGCGGUGAAAUGCGCAGAUAUCAGGAGGAACACCGGUGGCGAAGGCGGUUCUCUGGGCAUGUCCUGACGCUGAGGAGCGAAAGUGUGGGGAGCGAGCAGGAUUAGAUACCCUGGUAGUCCACACCGUAAACGUUGGGCGCUGGGUGUGGGGCCUAUUCCAUGGGUUCCGUGCCGCAGCUAACGCAUUAAGCGCCCCGCCUGGGGAGUACGGCCGCAAGGCUA